UACAGAGGGUGCAAGCGUUGUUCGGAAUUAUUGGGCGUAAAGCGCGUGUAGGCGGCUUUGCAAGUCGGGUGUGAAAGCCCUCGGCUCAACCGAGGAAGUGCGCCCGAAACUGCAGAGCUUGAGUACCGGAGAGGAUGGCGGAAUUCCCCAAGUAGAGGUGAAAUUCGUAGAUAUGGGGAGGAACACCGGUGGCGAAGGCGGUUGCCUGGAGCUUUGCUGACGCUGAUGCGCGAAAGCGUGGGGAGCGAUCCGG
rnacentral:rRNA from 1 species